rnacentral:rRNA from 1 species
UACGGGGGGGGCAAGCGUUGUUCGGAAUUACUGGGCGUAAAGGGCUCGUAGGCGGCCAACUAAGUCAGACGUGAAAUCCCUCGGCUUAACCGGGGAACUGCAUCUGAUACUGGAUGGCUUGAGUUCGGGAGAGGGAUGCGGAAUUCCAGGUGUAGCGGUGAAAUGCGCAGAUAUCAGGAGGAACACCGGUGGAGAAGGCGGGUCUCUGGGCCGAUACUGACGCUGAGGAGCGAAAGCGUGGGGAGCGAACAGG